rnacentral:rRNA from 1 species
AGUGAACGCUGGCGGUAGGCCUAACACAUGCAAGUCGAACGGCAGCACAGUAAGAGCUUGCUCUUACGGGUGGCGAGUGGCGGACGAGUGAGGAAUACAUCGGAAUCUACUUUUUCGUGGGGGAUAACGUAGGGAAACUUACGCUAAUACCGCAUACGACCUACGGGUGAAAGCAGGAGAUCUUCGGACCUUGCGCGAUUGAAUGAGCCGAUGUCGGAUUAGCUAGUUGGCGGGGUAAAGGCCCACCAAGGCGACGAUCCGUAGCUGGUCUGAGAGGAUGAUCAGCCACACUGGAACUGAGACACGGUCCAGACUCCUACGGGAGGCAGCAGUAGGGAAUAUUGGACAAUGGGCGCAAGCCUGAUCCAGCCAUACCGCGUGAGUGAAGAAGGCCUUCGGGUUGUAAAGCCCUUUUGUUGGGAAAGAAAAGCAGCAGGUUAAUACCCCGCUGUUCUGACGGUACCCAAAGAAUAAGCACCGGCUAACUUCGUG